rnacentral:rRNA from 1 species
GUCGAGCGAACAGACGAGGAGCUUGCUUCUCUGACGUUAGCGGCGGACGGGUGAGUAACACGUGGAUAACCUACCUAUAAGACUGGGAUAACUUCGGGAAACCGGAGCUAAUACCGGAUAAUAUAUUGAACCGCAUGGUUCAAUAGUGAAAGACGGUUUUGCUGUCACUUAUAGAUGGAUCCGCGCCGCAUUAGCUAGUUGGUAAGGUAACGGCUUACCAAGGCAACGAUGCGUAGCCGACCUGAGAGGGUGAUCGGCCACACUGGAACUGAGACACGGUCCAGACUCCUACGGGAGGCAGCAGUAGGGAAUCUUCCGCAAUGGGCGAAAGCCUGACGGAGCAACGCCGCGUGAGUGAUGAAGGUCUUCGGAUCGUAAAACUCUGUUAUUAGGGAAGAACAAAUGUGUAAGUAACUAUGCACGUCUUGACGGUACCUAAUCAGAAAGCCACGGCUAACUACGUGCCAGCAGCCGCGGUAAUACGUAGGUGGCAAGCGUUAUCCGGAAUUAUUGGGCGUAAAGCGCGCGUAGGCGGUUUUUUAAGUCUGAUGUGAAAGCCCACGGCUCAACCGUGGAGGGUCAUUGGAAACUGGAAAACUUGAGUGCAGAAGAGGAAGGUGGAAUUCCAUGUGUAGCGGUGAAAUGCGCAGAGAUAUGGAGGAACACCAGUGGCGAAGGCGACUUUCUGGUCUGUAACUGACGCUGAUGUGCGAAAGCGUGGGGAUCAAACAGGAUUAG